rnacentral:rRNA from 1 species
GAGAGGUGCUGCAUGGCUGUCGUCAGCUCGUGUUGUGAAAUGUUGGGUUAAGUCUCGCAACGAGCGCAACCCCUAUCGUCUGUUGCCAGCAUUAAGUUGGGCACUCUGACGAGACUGCCUGGGUUAACCAGGAGGAAGGUGGGGAUGACGUCAAGUCCUCAUGGCCCUUAUGUCUAGGGCUAUACACGUAAUACAAUGGUGCGUACAAAGGGAAGUGAACUUGUAAGGGGGAGUAAAUCUCAAAAAGCGCGUCUCAGUCCGGAUUGGAGUCUGCAACUCGACUCCAUGAAGUUGGAAUCGCUAGUA